CCUACGGGAGGCAGCAGUCGAGAAUCAUUCACAAUGGGGGAAACCCUGAUGGUGCGACGCCGCGUGGGGGAAUGAAGGUCUUCGGAUUGUAAACCCCUGUCAUGUGGGAGCAAAUUAAAAAGAUAGUACCACAAGAGGAAGAGACGGCUAACUCUGUGCCAGCAGCCGCGGUAAUACAGAGGUCUCAAGCAUUGUUCGGAAUCACUGGGCGUAAAGCGUGCGUAGGCUGUUUCGUAAGUCGUGUGUGAAAGGCGCGGGCUCAACCCGCGGACGGCACAUGAUACUGCGAGACUAGAGUGAUGGAGGGGGAACCGGAAUUCUCGGGGUAGCAGUGAAAUGCGUAGAUAUCGAGAGGAACACUCGUGGCGAAGGCGGGUUCCUGGACAUUAACUGACGCUGAGGCACGAAGGCCAGGGGAGCGAAAGGGAUUAGAUACCCCUGUAGUC
rnacentral:rRNA from 1 species